rnacentral:lncRNA from 1 species
GGUUUUAGGUUUGAAUAAACUUUUUUCUUUUAUUUAUUUAUUUAUUUGGCUAUAAAGAAUACUUUACAGGUAUUCCAUGAGGAGGUCCUCACACUGGGUUUUUGCCAGCAGCGAUGCUCAGGGGGAUGACCUGUUGAGAAAGUAAUUAUUAUAUGUCCAUGAGAAGGUACCUUUGCCUGGAACAUCAACUGAGGCAAAGUUUACAUGCUAUUGCUUUGCAGGGUGGGGGUGCAAUGCUGUGAAAGGGGAAAAAUGAAUUGAGGGGGAAACUACAAGAUGGUCUGCUGCUGAAUUAGCCACUGCUUGAUAAACAGCACAGCUGGCCGCUUGGCUAUGUGAGACAUCUUUGGAGGUGCUGUGUAGCUCCGUUGCACCUCAGAGGAGUCCUACAAGGCAAAGCUCACGUGGUGGUAAAGCACUUGUACUUCAGGAUUGUGUUGCUAGCUGCCUCGACACAGCCACUGGGAAAGCCAGUUCACCCGGGGCUCCUGCUGGACCUGGGCACAGGAGUUGCUGCAGCUCCUGCCCUGGCAGGUGGAAUGACAUGGCCUUGCCAAAGACAGCGGUGCCUGUCAUUAUAGGAGGUAAGGUGACAAGGUGGAAGCUGGAACUUUGCGGCCAUCACUGGAGCUGCUUUACCUAGGAUCAGGGUAGUGGGUCCCCAGGGGCAGGCAGGGUCAAAUGGAUGUGCUGGCUGGGUAUAAAUUGGAUCCAACAUUUUUUUCCUUUUAAAUUACUGAAUGAUUUGUGGGGUGUACUUUGCCCCUGUAGGAAUAUUCUAUUGCCCUGCCACGUUUAUGUAAUGGUUUCAGUAUCCAUUGAUUAUUCUUGCCUGUACCAUUUAUUACAGCAGGAGAUGCAAGAUAUGAGG